rnacentral:rRNA from 1 species
UACGGAGGAUUCAAGCGUUAUCCGGAUUUAUUGGGUUUAAAGGGUGCGCAGGCGGUCUGUUAAGUCAGCGGUCAAAGCCCGGGGCUCAACCCCGUCGUGCCGUUGAAACUGAUGAUCUUGAGUGGGCGAGAAGUAUGCGGAAUGCGUGGUGUAGCGGUGAAAUGCAUAGAUAUCACGCAGAACCCCGAUUGCGAAGGCAGCAUACCGGUGCACAACUGACGCUCAGGCACGAAAGCGUGGGUAUCGAACAGG